rnacentral:lncRNA from 1 species
GUAUGGAAUGGGAGUGUGAGUGUCAUAGGUGAGCGGCUCCUCUGCCCCUCCAUUUCCUUCUCUGCUGUUUAUGUCAUGCUGAUGGAUGCCUCUGCUGCCUUUUGUCUUCUGAGCUGUGACUCUGUUGUGGGGAAGCAGGGGAUUCCCAAGGAAAGCCAAGGCCACCAAGGCCAGCUGGUAAGCCGGGAGUUCUCACCUCUGCUUGUCUCCAGAAAGUGACAGGGCAGACCCACCUGUCUCCUAGAAGCAGAUCCUCAGACAGCCUUCUCGCCAGGCAGGGGUGGGCAUCUUUCAGGUAUAAACUCAGAAUAUCAUCACGGGUGAUGUCAAACCCUGACUAGUGGUGUCUAUUCAGCUCUGUGUGUACACGAGAGAAAGUGUGGCCUCACAUUCCCAAGCCCCACAGGAGUAGAUUUAGAAUGUCAGUGCCUGGUCAUGGCAAUGGCUACUGUUUCUCUUUUCUUUUCUUUUCUUUUCUUUUCUUUUCUUUUCUUUUCUUUUCUUUUCUUUUCUUUUCCUUUCCUUUCCUUUCCUUUCCUUUCUUUUUUCUUUUCUUUUCUUUUUUUCUCUUUUCUUUUUUUCUCUUCUCUUUUCUUCCUUUUCUUUUUUUUACUGGAUAUUUUCUUUAUUUACAUUUCAAAUAUUUUCUUCUUUCCAGAUCUCCCCUUUGGAAACUCCCUAUCCUAUGCCCCCUCCUUCUGCCUCUAUAAAGGUGCUCCCCCACCUACCCACUCCUGCCUUCCUGCCCUGGCAUUCCCAAGGGCCUCUCCUCCUACUGAUGUCCGACAAGUCCAUCCUCUGUGAACUCUUCAGAGAGGCUGUGAACUGGCUAGUUUGUGUCAACUUGACACAGACUAGAGUUAUCACAGAGAAAGGAGCUUCAGUUGGGGAAAUGCCUCCAUGAGAUCCAGCUGUAAGGCAUUUUCUCAGUUAGUGAUCAAGGGGGGAAGGCCCCUUGUGGGUGGGACCAUCUCUGGGCUGGUAGUCUUGGUUCUAUAAGGGAGCAGGCUGAGCAAGCCAGGGGAAGCAAGCCAGUAAGUAACAUCCCUCCAUGGCCUCUGCAUCAGCUCCUGCUUCCUGACCUGUUUGAGUCCCAGUCCUGACUUCCUUGGUGAUGAACAGCAAUGUGGAAGUGUAAACUGAAUAAACCCUUCCCUCCCCAACUUGCUUCUUGGUCAUGAUGUUUGUGCAGGACUAGAAACCCUGACUAAGACACUCUGCCACAUAUGAAGCUGGAGCCAUGGGUCCCUCCAUUGUAGUCUUUGGUUGGUGGUCAAGUCCUCAUGAUCUCUGGGGGUGUCUGGCCUGUUUACAUUGUUGAUACCCCCAUGGGGCUGCAAACCCCCUCAGCUCCUUUAGUCUCUUCUCCAAUUCUCCAUCGGGGACCCCACACUCAGUUGAAUGGUUGGCUGCAAGCUUCCGCCUUUGUAUUUGUCAGGCUCUGGUGGAGUCUCUCCGGAGACGUGGCUAGUGUUUCUAAAAGGCUUUGUAUUGCCUCGAAGAAUGCUCCAAAUAGAUUAUUUCAUUGAAAUCAUCCCUUUAGUGCAAGGUGUCUCCCAUGUGGUUCUGGGUGCAGCAGUAGACACAAGACAGCCACACAACAGGCUACUAUUUAACCUAGAAAAAAGAAGACUCUAAUACUUGGCCAUCAUGUGGAUGAUCCUUGAAGAUAGGAUGCCAAGAGAAAUAAACGCAUUACAAAAAGACAAACACUGGAAUUUCACUCACAGGAGAUCCCCGGAGUGUGGAGUGGCAGCCAAGGUCUGGGGAAGGAGGCUAUAGGAAGCCAUUGAUUAGUAGAGGCAGAGGUUUCCUUUUACAAGGGCCCUGGGAGGGAUGCUGAUGUUGGCUAUGUGGAUGCAUGCUCGCUGCCCUUCAGCACACACUUUAAGGUAGCCAGGAUGGAACAGUGUGCAUACUUGUAUUUUAGCAUUAUUUAAAAGAUGAUGCCUGAUGGCGUCCUGUUGUGAAGGCAAGGGAGGGGCUCCUGAGGACCCCCCCAUUCCUAAGAAUUUAUUCACUGUUAAGGGUUGAUGGGGAAAGGAGGAGACAUGAGCUCUGACUCGGUUCUCACUUUAUUUUGUUUUUGCAAUGCUAAGGUUCCAAGAUCUCAAGCCUAAGCCUUUUUUUAAAGUUUUUUUUCCGAGGAUUAUAUUUAUUUUCUAUAUGUUUGCCUGAAUCUGUGUCUCUGUGCCCUGUGUUCACAGAGGCCCAACGAAGGUGUCUGAUCUCCUAGGACUAGAGUUACAGAUGACUGGGAGCCAUCAUGUGGGUACUGGGAAUUGAACCUGGGUCCUCUGGAAGAACGGCCAGAGCUAUUUCUCCAGCCCUAUAAAUUAUUACUAUUGCGUGUCUAUGAAGUUUCUCAGGUAACUCGACAGCUGCGAGCGAGAACCACAGAUUCUCAGCUCUGAUCACACCCUUGAACCAACUAGGCAGCGGGAGACUGCUGACGUCCAGGUCAUGUCCCUUGGGGCUCCUUGGCCAAAGCUGGAGUGGCCUCUUGGAGACAGGGUUUCUAAAAGCUCACAGAAUAGCCAGGGCUGAGCUGAUGACAGCAACUGUGAGACAGUCAGCUCACUGAGGCCAGCCACAUCUUCCAGGGUCACACGACACUGUAAACAAGCUCUUGGAAGUUCAAAAUGUUCAUGUCUUUUAAAAUCAAAAUGAGAAAAACCAUACUUUUAACCUUUUAGUUUGAAAAAGGUUAUUUAUUGUUAUAUACAUGUCAUACAAUAUAAUUUUAUGGAUUUUGGGAACAAGAAGAGCCCAUGGAGGUCUCUGGGUAGCCACUAGCUGAUUGCCUGUUAGUGCUACCUGGUUCCCUGUUCAGGCCUUUGCAGCCCAUAUGAGAGAAAGACUCACAGCAUUAAGUAGGUCAGGGACAACAAGAAGCGUGGCCAUGGAGUGGGGGUGGGGAGAGAGGCCUCAUGGAGCUAAAGCUGUGAAGGGAGCUUGAGGGAUUUGGAGAGGUCAGGCUGAGGAGGAGAGAGGGAAACGGAUGAGGGAGCCACCUAGAAAUACUGUCCAGGGCAUGAGCCAGCCUGUAAGGAGCUUCCCGUUUGCUGCUGGUCUCUGUGACAGCCUUUCUGUCUGCUAAUAGCCAGUCUUUGUUCUCUCCCAACCCUCAACCUGCACUGGGCCCUAGGCUUUCUACCUCCUUCAGUCCUUCCCUUUCCUGUGUGUGUGUGUGUGUGUGUGUGUGUGUGAGUGUGCUCCGUGUGCAUGCAGGUGCCUGUGGAGGUCAGAUCAAGAUGGAACUGAAGUUACAAGUGGUUAUUAGCUGUCAUGUGUGUGGUGGGAAUAAACUCAGAUCCUCUGGCAGAGCUGUCUUUUCAGCCCUCCACAGAACUGUUAGCAUUAUUAGCUUUCAGAAUUUCAUGUGGAUAAGAAGGAAACUUCUAGAACUGUCAAAUUACCC